rnacentral:rRNA from 1 species
GAACGGGUGAGUAACACGUGGGCAAUCUGCCCUUCACUCUGGGACAAGCCCUGGAAACGGGGUCUAAUACCGGAUACGACUGCGGGAGGCAUCUCCUGUGGUGGAAAGCUCCGGCGGUGAAGGAUGAGCCCGCGGCCUAUCAGCUUGUUGGUGGGGUAACGGCCCACCAAGGCGACGACGGGUAGCCGGCCUGAGAGGGCGACCGGCCACACUGGGACUGAGACACGGCCCAGACUCCUACGGGAGGCAGCAGUGGGGAAUAUUGCACAAUGGGCGAAAGCCUGAUGCAGCGACGCCGCGUGAGGGAUGACGGCCUUCGGGUUGUAAACCUCUUUCAGCAGGGAAGAAGCGAAAGUGACGGUACCUGCAGAAGAAGCGCCGGCUAACUACGUGCCAGCAGCCGCGGUAAUACGUAGGGCGCAAGCGUUGUCCGGAAUUAUUGGGCGUAAAGAGCUCGUAGGCGGCUUGUCACGUCGGAUGUGAAAGCCCGAGGCUUAACCUCGGGUCUGCAUUCGAUACGGGCUAGCUAGAGUGUGGUAGGGGAGAUCGGAAUUCCUGGUGUAGCGGUGAAAUGCGCAGAUAUCAGGAGGAACACCGGUGGCGAAGGCGGAUCUCUGGGCCAUUACUGACGCUGAGGAGCGAAA